UCUUUUGAAAUUACUGGAGAUAAACUAUUUUUAAACCAGUUUAAGUGAGAGGAGAAUCGGGGCCCCAGGAAGACACUGGAAGUUCAUGUUUCUGUGAACUGAUCUUUCAUAAAUUAACUUUGUACCUGCUUGAUCUAGUCUUUCCAAAUUCAGAUGGCAAAAGUUAUAUCACAACACUUCCCUUUUUAGCUGUUUCAUCUGUUUUAAAAUACAAUACAGUAAUAUGUAGUGAAUUAUUGUCAAGCAAAUUCCAUAAAGGCAGCAUUGUAUCAAAAAAAGCUGCCUAGAAGUCUAACUUUUUCACAGUUACUGGUGAGCUGCCAUCUUAAUGGAAGAAAAACUUAACUCCCUAUGAUUUAUUGGAUUUAGUCAGAUGACCAGUAACUAGUCAAUUUUUAGUUGGGUUUCACUUUUCAGAUUGGACUUCCAGUGUCAUAAAAGCAAGAAAUUCUGUUGAACCCUAUAGUCUGUUAAGCAGAUCCUAAUUUCAGCUACAUCAGUGGAAAAUUGGAAUGAUUCCAGUUAACUAGAGUUACAUAGCUCUCUGACAGAAUUUGAUUCUCAGUAACUGACAUUCUACUUCCUACCAUAGCUUCAGUUUAAAAUAAUAAUUUGGAUGGGUGAAGUGGAAGCUGAAUGCAUUUACAUUUAUAUAGGUCUUUAGACUGCAUAAACAUAGAUUCAUGAAAACUUGUUUAAAAAAUAUAAAUAGUGCAUAUUAUUUUUGCAUGGAAAAUAAACUGUUCUUUAUUUCAGAUUAGCCAUAGUUACUUUGUAAAGUCCAAAUGCAUGUCACCUUUGUAAAGUCCAGUCAUGUCAUCGAGCAGACCAAGGCAAUUUCUUGGAAUAAAAGGAAUUCUACAAUUGAAGUAGAAGUAAUAUCAUUACAAUCAUGAUCCUAUGUAUAGAAUAACAGUUUGGAGGUCUGUAAAAUGUGCUAGUGAGAUCCAAAGCAUGACUAAAGUUGGGGAAAAGCCUUGCUUCAAUGUAUUAACUGAUUAGUUUUUUUAUAAACUAUAGUUCUGUGCUAUGUGAAACAUAGGGUCAUUUAUUUGUUGAAUAAAUUAUAUUCUAAAUAAUGAUCAUGGUACUGAUAGAAUGCUGGAGAGCAGUAGAGAAAAAAACUGAAGGUUUAGCCUUACUGAGUGAUAUUAAUUUUCCUUAAUUUUCUACUUGUUGAAUCAUCAUGGCUAUUGCUAAACAUUGGUAGGACAAGCAGAUUUGAUCAUCUUAUUUUACUUUCUCUUCUCUGCUUCUCUGUUACUAUUGCUACAUCAUCUUCACUUAACUCCACAAAAAUAUGUCUGGAUCAGUAGAUUCUUUCCGAUAUGAAUCAUACAUUCCCAUAGUGCUGAUUUAUAUUCUAAAGUAGUUGAAUGGGUUAUACAGUUUAUUUACCUAAAAAAAAAAAUUCUGUCCAUUCUGUGACUGUAGACAACAAAUGGGAUAUUACAAGCUUUUUAGAAAAAUUUAGAUUGCUUUAUAACUCUGCCUCUCUUUCUCCCAUAGUUCAAAUCCUUCCUCCUCCUGCAAAAGAAACAUUUUAUUCUAUGUCCAUUGAGGGUGAAAUUCACCUGUCAUGUGGUGUGUUUUGCACUAACCAACCAUGCCACUUAAACCCUGCAUUAGAGCUGUGCAAGGGGAGUCUUGGCAGAAAGGCCUGACAGGGUUGCAUUUACAUCUCUGAUGUGGUUGGGAAAGGUCUCUGGAUAGAUUGACAUGGAAAGUUGGAGAGGGCCAAUAGCUCCAACAUCUCAUUCAGUUUCUGCACAGGGGCAGUUGCUACAGUUACAUGCUCUGGAUUGGAUCUAAUAGAGUUCAUCUUGCCAGCCUCUCCAUAGUCCACCCACAGAAAACCCAAAUACUUGCAGUGUAUGUGGCUGGAGAAUCAGGGUUCCCUUUGCUUUCUUGUUAUGUGGUCUACUCUGCAGGUUUAGAGCAAACAAGUGGGAAUGCUGGAAACCUGCAAAGUUCUCUGAAGCCAUGUGAAGGAGGAUGUAGAGCCAAAGCCUCCAUCCUACUUUCUCAAAACUUACAGAAUUUCCUCUGUAUGCUAUCCAGACGCGAUAGAUUUUUUUUUCCAGAGCUGGGAUGGAACAGGAAAGUAGUUGCACUUUGGAGCAGUAGCACUCUGUGGAUUUCUGAGUGGGAAUCUCUAAGUAGCAGCAUUAGCUCUCACAAAGGUAUGACUACACUUGCCACUUAAAGCGCAAAAAGUCCCUUUUUUGCACUAAAACCAUGGGAGCAUCUACACUUGUUAAUGACUUUUGCUGUGAAACUCAAAAGUUUCACUGCAAAAAGAAAACCACCUUCACAAGAGGUAUACAGCUCUUACGCUGUUCUUUUUGCGCUGCUGUGAAAGUGAAGACAUGUUCUAGUAGUGUAAACACCUUUUGGCCUCCGGAGGAUAUCAUACAGUUCCAAAAGCGACCACUCUGGCCAGCAUCUCCUCUGCUCUGACACACGGAUGUCCGCCCCUCCCCCUGUAAGCCCCGGGAAGUUUAAAGCUGCCUUUCCCUUUGUUUGUAGAUGUGGUGGGGAAAGCAGCCAGACAGCAGGAGGUUUUAAAAAAAAAUGCCACCGAAGAAACCAGGAAGCAAUGGGGCUCCUGAGACAUGAAGCAGGGCAGCACGGGGCACUGAGCAGGGACCCAGAAUGCCUUCCGCUCACCCUCCCCCUUCCCACAAGACCUAUCGGAGAGCUGCACUGUGGGAUAGCUGGCCUAUAGCGCUGCUCUCAUCGGUGAUGGAAGUGCUGGUAAUGUAAACACUCUCUGAUGCCUGAGGAAUUGAGUGAGUCCAGAAACCAGCGCUUUACUUUUACCGGUUCCCUAUCACCGGUGAAACUUGCAGUGCAAAAACUCUGUAGACAUAUUCUUACUCCCUUUCUGUGGUAUCUAUUGCACACCUCUUUUGGGAACUGGGGCGGAGUACAUGCAUCCUAUGGCUGUACAACUCCUGCAGGAGCCAGACUAGGGGGAAAGAGAAAAGCAUUCGGUGCUGAGGCAAAGAAGUUAAAAGUAAUUACAUGAAUGUUAAUGUCUGAAGCAGUUACUUAAUCAGAGGAAAAAAACUUCCAUAAAUAAUCGACAUUUUUUAUUUUACCAGACACUUGUCUUCAAAUAGAAUAUGUAAUAGGAAUUUUGACUUGUGGUUGGAUAGACCAGGCACUUGUACUAUCCUAUUUUUCAAAUGCUUGAUAGCCCAUUUAAACAUAUAGCAGAGGGAGAAAGCUGUAUCCAGGCUCAAAUGAAUUUGACCCUUUAGGUGAGUCAUGAUUUGUCUUAACACUGAACUUCAGCCUGAAGUUAGAGCCUGCUGUAAGGUGAAAUGUUGUGUUAAUGUGUAUUGUUUGUUUCCCAUUUACACUUAUGUAGGAAUCUGGCCCACCUCUAGGAGCAAACCAGAUCUACCCAAACCCUAACCUAAACACAUAUGGAGAUCGUAUAAAUCAGGGAAGGAGCUUUAUUUUUUACUUCACAUCCCAUAACAUACACUCCUGGCUACGUUUCAGUUAAAGGAUGGUGCAUCUGGAUGCAACUAUGUAUAUAUUAUUGGGUUUUCAUAUUGAGGUCAAAGUUAUAUAACGCUUAUGCUGCUAUAGAAUUGUUAAUAUAUGUAAACAUAAAUCAAAUAAAACUUCUUUGACAAACGAUUGAUUGGCAACCAUUGAUCCAAACUGGAUCAUGGUAUAUCAUAAGAGGUCUAAUCUGGUACCUAAUGACUCCGUGUAUGGCUGACAAGCCCAAUUCAAGAGCGACACAGGUUUUACAAAUUUAGUAGAUCCAUGUGGUCAAGACCUUUGAUGCAUAUGUCUAGGCAAGAGUAUGGAGGAGUGGAGGCUGCCCUAGACCUACCAUCCUCCCUUUAGAUCAUUGAAACAGUGUCUGAAGGCCAGAUGUUCAGUGCCUCAAGGGUUGUAGCUUCUGCCAGAGAGCAACAGAUUGGAGCUGCUGCUCACUGCUUAAUACGAGGACACCUUUCUGUCAGGGUGAUGUCCCUUAGCCUUACUCCAGCCAAGGAAUACUUACAAGGCAGUGGGGGCUAGGGUUUUGAGGCACCCUAUAUUCACCUUACGCUGAAGGUUACAACAUUGUGGCAUUUUACAAGAGCUACCCUGCCACAAGUAGCCCCGCCACAUUGGCACCAGGGCCUCCAGUUGAAUGCAGUUUGCGGUCAUACCUAGGACCCAAUAACAAAUGAACACUUGUUAGUUUGUAUAGGAUGCAUCACUUUUAUUUAGUUAAUAUUUGUUCAGCAUUUGAAUAUAUAGAGCACUAGAUACAUGUGCUAUGUACUAUUAAUAUGAUACAUCUGUACUUGGAGACUAGAUGUUAAUCCAAAUCCUGGAACAAACACUGACAACCUACUUGGAGAUUAAACAAGUGACUAUUUAACACUCACAGGAUUAUGGGAAGUAAGGAAGUACCUUCCUGCUGACUUAUGUUCACCCCAAUAUUAUUUGUUCAGGUCUUUGCAAUGCACAUUCCAACAAUCUAUGUCAUGUGAAUAUAAAAAGCUAUAACAUAUGGAG